UGGGAAUGACAUGUAAUAACCUAAAGUUAUAACAAUCUAUUUUAAUCUGAUAUCAAUUUGACUUCAAGUACAUACAAACUCUGUACCUUUACAGCUCUGCCACCCCUUACACUUUAUGUUAUUAAUGUCACCUAUUAUAUCUAUAUAUAGUAUACAUAUUAAUAUAUAUUUAAAAUUAUUUUUAUAUCUUUAGUCCUGUAGAGGAAUAAAAAGUGUAAGUUUUAGUCAAAAUUAUAAUUCAUGUUUUUAUAUUUGUCCAUGUAUUAACCUUUACCAGAUAACUUUAUAUUUUCAUAUGAUUUUGAGUUACUGUCUAGCAACCUUUCAUUUCAACUUGAAGGGUAACCCUUAGCAUUUCUUGUAGGGCAGAUCCAGUCAUCACGAAUUCCCUUAGCUUUUGUUUAUUUGGGACUGACUGUGGAACUGUGUAAGAAGCUGCUGGAUUCUUCAGUGUUCAGGAAACAGCUCUCAACUGACUGAACGCAAGUUGCUUGAUUUGGGAAAGGUAAUUCCAAGUGAUGGAAAAAAUUGAACAAUGAUAGAAGCCCCUGUGUUCGGGUUUUCACUGGCUCAUGGGCAGUGACCAAUGGUCUGGCCACACACGCAGGCAAGAGGGUGAUGGAAACCUGUCCUAUUAGAAGAAUGCUUCUAUAGAACAAGGCCCUAUGGAGAUUUAAGGGGUGAAUUAAAGCAGAACAAGUCAAUGACCAACAAGUCAAUGACCAACAGAAGAACUCCCUUCUGGAUUCAUAAGGUGAUUGGAAUUAAAAAGCAGAUAUCCCCAUGUGCUCCCUUGAUGUGGCCACCUGCAUCAGUGAAACAGUUGGAUAUGGGAGUAUUGUAGCAGUAUAGAAAUGGGAUGAAUCAAGACAGGUUCCUUCUUCACUUUCUUAGGCACAAAAUCUCAGAAAGAAUUGUUCUGUUUUUCAUCAAGAGCGACAGAGACUGCUGAUGGCUAUGGGGCAGAUUCUCUGGUUGAAAGGCCCUGAACAUAGCUGGCAAGUGAGACUAAUGCCAGUAGCCCUAGAGGGCUAAAAAUGGGUCUUGACAGGAAUAAACACUGACUCUAAAGUGGGUUUUGCUUAUCCAUCUGAAGAUGAUAAUGUUCAGAGUGCCAUAAAAAGUAUAGAACAGAAGAUAUUGCAUGGAUUUGCAUGACCACUCAUCAUUUCUUCAGAUCAAGUAACACACUGUACAGCCCAUAAUGUCCAACAAUGGGUAGAGUGAUAUCCUGCUAAGAGUAAUAGCUUGACAGAGAAGUGGAACGGGUAAUUGAAACAUUGGUUGUCUAAAACAGGCAAAGAUAAAAGCAUGAAGGGCUGGCUUACAUGCUUAUAUAACAACUAUAAUUCUUUCUUUCUUUCUCAAAUUAUUUCAGAAAUAAAAUAUUUUAUUUUUUCUACCUGAUGCAGUGGUCCUAGAACCUGGAAAGCAACUACAAGUUUAAAUAGCAGGGGAGAUUUCUAAGCAAAAUGUAUAACAGUAUUUUUAAACCUUAUUUCAAAAUUCCUAAGGGCACUAUGGAGGUGGGUUGUGCCUUCACCCCAUCUAGAAAAAUUGGGGCUAACAGUGAAUGCAGCUAUAUUGCCGGAUGGUAAAAAUAACUCACUAGUUCUGCCCCUAUGUAACCUUACUCUAUCUGAAUGGAAGUGGAUUGAGGAGGAGCUACUUGCCAGACUUGUAUUGCUACCUGCAAUCUAGACCAGCACAGUGGCAAUUCUAAUGUCUCUUCCAAAGUUGAAAAAGGUUUGGGUAUUAAUGGAGAGAAGGAGAAAUACCAGCUGAAAUUAAAGAAAUGAAUAACUGGGUUAUUAACUGAGAUAAAAUUCAAAAUUACAUUAACAACUCAAAAUAGUCUCAAAGCAAGAGAUGAUAUUGUCUCUUAGUGCAAUUAUUCCAGAUGCCAGAAAGGGUAAUGCUGUAUAUUUACUAAGGCCACUCCUGCUAUUGGAAGCUGACAAGAUUGAGAGGAAACCUACAAACCUGAGUGGCCUCAUCCUGGGAGACAUUUAUACAACAUGAUGGACUGGAAUAAUUAAUAAUGAUUUUAUAUAAUAUAUAUAUAUUAAUGUAAAUGAUCUGUGAUUGAAAGCCAGGGGGUGGCCUGUGGUGUUAUGAUAUAUAUUGGUUUUCAUCAUUGGUUUGUGGCUUAUAACUCCUAUUACACUUAUUAAAGUAUUUUGU
rnacentral:lncRNA from 1 species